rnacentral:miRNA from 8 species
AAGCUUUUUGUUUGUGUUAUGU